UCUCGGUUGAUCCUGCCGGACCUGACUGCUAUCGGAUUGGUACUAAGCCAUGCGAGUGAUCGUAGCAAUACGACGCAGACGGCUCAGUAACACGUAGUCAACCUAACUCGUGGACGUGGAUAAUCUCGGGAAACUGAGGAUAAACCACGAUAGAUAACGGUGCCUGGAAUGGCCCAUUGUCCAAACAGUUUACUGCCACGGGAUGGGACUGCGGCCUAUCAGCUUGUUGGUGAGGUAAUGGCCCACCAAGGCUAUAACAGGUACGGGCUCUGAGAGGAGAAGCCCGGAGAUGGGUACUGAGACACGGACCCAGGCCCUAUGGGGCGCAGCAGGCGAGAAACCUUAGCAAUGUGCGAAAGCACGACUGGGUCAGUCCGAGUGAUUUCUGAUAAAGGAAUCUUUUGCCCGUCCUAAAAGCACGGGCGAAUAAGGGGUGGGCAAGUCUGGUGU
rnacentral:rRNA from 1 species